ensembl:lincRNA Mirt1 myocardial infarction associated transcript 1
AGGAGGACAGAUAAGCAGGCUGCCCUGGACACAAGGCAAAGGCUUUUGCAAUGCAGUUGUCAGCAGCAGUCAUGCAGCAGUAAGUGAUGGAGGCCUGAGAAGUGACCUGUUACCAUCUAAUCUCAGCAGUCACCAUUUGCCUCUCCACUGUCCCCUCCACGCCUCUGGUGAUGGCUUAGUGACUCUCCUUGCCCAGCAGGUCGGUUUUCCAAUUACUUCCAGCCGGGCCUGCUUUCCCCUGAAUUUCAUUUCCGGGCCUGUUGAAGCCAAAUUAAUUUUUAAUCACCUUUGAGGUGUUCUGUUUAAUUACCUGGGUUGAACUGACGAGAACAGUGUGUACGGAGGCGAAACUUUGGGGGUGCUUCUCAGGAACGGGGUGUGGGGUGUUUCUAGAGUACUGUGCAGGUGGAGAGACAUGGGAUGCCCAGCAACAUGACAGACUAUGAGGACUAUGACAGACGGUGUAAGAGAAAGAGAACCUCGUGAGUCUGCCUCACGUGACACAACCCAAAACUUCCCCUUCAGAUCCCUGCAAACGCCUGAGCUUGGAGUGGAGACUCUCACUUAGGAAGGAAAAAUGAGCUGAGGAUGUGCCAACAAACAGGCAUGUGCCAUCAAGGCCUGUUUAUGGCUGAAACCCAGGUCAUUGUGCAUAUGAGACCAGCACUCUACCAACUGAGCUAUGCGGGGACUCUGAAAACAGAUUUUUAAAAAUUCGGAUUUUUAUAAAUAAAUAUAUAUGUGUGUGUGUGUGUGUGUGUGUGUGUGUGUGUGUGUAUGAGUGUUUCCCCUAAAAGUUUGCAUGUGUGUGCAGUGCUCUGUGAAGGACACCAAACCCCCCUGGAACUGCUGUUAAAGAAGAUUGUAAGCCACCAAGAAUGGGUGUUGAGGAUAAACAGCAGUCCAGCAGAAGAGCAGUGCUUGUUCUUGACCACUCGGCCCUCUCUCUAGCCCCAGGAAGUAGAUUUCUAACAUUAUUUUACAUUAUUGAAGAAAGUUAAAGUAAUACUUUGUGGUAUGUUUUGUUGGAGACCAGCAGAAUGGGUUUACACAUUGCCCGUUGCCAACCCUCAGAGGCAGAAGCGAACAGUAGUGACACACACUGAAUGGACCGCAAAUACUUACUUCUAACCAUUUCCAGAAAAAAAAAAAGGCUCUCUGACCUUUGACCCAGGCCAGUUAUGACACUCUUCUUCUCUCUUUUUCCCCCUAAGCUUCCUUGCAGCUAGGAGUGGCCACUUGUUCUCCUCAGUCAGGCAAAGAUCUGCAGGGGAGACUGGUAUAAAGCCCUGCUGUUCCAAAGGAAAGAGUGGGAUGUGUCUGGGAACUCUCCCACCUACUUCCUGUCUGAACUGUGAGUUAGCCCUGGGGAGCCCACCCAGCCCUCUUUUAGAACCCAUCUCCUGCUGAGAGACAGGAAGCACAGGGUCAUGAGUUCAAGUAUAAGGGCUGGGUCCCCGUUGGCUACUGUCCAGGAGAAGCGGAAUGCCUGCCCUGAGCACCUGCCCAGAGGUUAGGCUACUUGUAGCCUAGAUCCGAGGAGCCACUUGUCUGCCAGGAACUUGCCAGUGGCUCCUGAUUGCCAGACCCACAUCAGUACAUGGGAAGGUUAUAAGGUAAACUAAGGUCCACUGUUGGAUUCUGGGGUCCUAGAGGCAAAAUUUCUCAGUGUUCCCUUAUCCCCGAAACUCCUAUAGCUCUCAAAAUAAUGUUGGAUGGUUUGGAGGAUGUUUGAGAGAUGAAUAAAUGAAUGAAUGGAUGGAUGGAUGAAUGAAUGAAUGAAUGGAAGCAUAUAGUUAUCAAGAGGGAGCUACACAGAAUUGAAAGCAGCCUGGAAAGUCUGACCUAGGUAUUCUGUUAGUUAACAAAGGAAACCGGGUUUCCAUGAGUAUAAUUGGCUUUCCUAUGGUCACAAGAGUUAGGAGGAAAAAAGUUGGGAUCCCACCUUAAGGCUGGUUCAACUCCUUGGAUACUGGCCUCUCCGGCCUCAGCUCCUUGGACAUUCCCUGAGGCAAUGCCAGACAUAAUCUGUAGAAGUAGGUGACAAAUCUACCAUCACCUAGGGGAAAGCAUGAAAGGAAACUUGAUGAGUUUGGACGACUGCCAGUCACUGCCUCUCUCCCUCGCGUCCCCCAGUUCUGCUCCUAGAAUUGCCAGGAACACGUCACCUCCUUAGCAGGUGCUCGGAACAUAUUUGGAAGAUGAGUCCCCUCGUAUCAGUGCACAUUCCUCAGCAAAAAGUCACAGGCUGCAAAACUUC